AAAAUCCCACUGAGCCAUUCGGACAAUUUUUUGAAAAAUGCUCGAAAUU
ensembl:ncRNA C49A1.13 ncRNA